UACGUAGGGGGCUAGCGUUGUCCGGAAUCAUUGGGCGUAAAGGGCGCGUAGGCGGCCGAUCAAGUCGGAGGUGAAAUCCCUCGGCUCAACUGAGGAAUUGCCUUCGAUACUGUUCGGCUUGAGUCCUGGAGAGGGUAGCGGAAUUCCCGGUGUAGCGGUGAAAUGCGUAGAGACCGGGAAGAACACCAGUGGCGAAGGCGGCUACCUGGACAGGUACUGACGCUGAAGCGCGAAAGCUAGGGGAGCAAACAGG
rnacentral:rRNA from 1 species